rnacentral:rRNA from 1 species
GUAUAAAUAAUUUUACUUUGAAACUGCGAAUGGCUCAUUAUAUCAGUUAUAGUUUAUUAGAAAUAYUUUACUACUUGGAUAACCGUAGUAAUUCUAGGGCUAAUACAUGAGUAAAWCCUCAACUUCGGAAGAGGUGUGUUUAUUAGUAUGAAAACCAUAUAUCUUCGGAUAUAAUAGUGAGUAAUAAUAACCUUUCAUAUCGUAUGUCGUAAGAUAACGAUAGUUCUUUCAAGUUUCUGCCCUAUCAGCUUUCGAUGGUAGUAUAUGGGACUACCAUGGCAGUAACGGGUAACGAAGAAUUUGGGUUCGAUUUCGGAGAGGGAGCCUGAGAGAUGGCUACCACAUCCAAGGAAGGCAGCAGGCGCGUAAAUUACCCAAUCCUGACAUAGGGAGGUAGUGACAAUAAAUCACAAUGCGGAACUUUUAGUUUUGCAAUUGGAUUGAGAACAAUGUACAAAUGUUAUCGAUAAACAAUUGGAGGGCAAGUCUGG